rnacentral:rRNA from 1 species
UACGGAGGGGGCAAGCGUUGUUCGGAAUUACUGGGCGUAAAGGGCGCGCAGGCGGCUGCUCAAGUCAGGCGUGAAAGGCCUGGGCUCAACCCGGGAAUUGCGCUUGAGACUGGGCUGGCUUGAGUGCGGGAGAGGAUGGUGGAAUUCCCAGUGUAGAGGUGAAAUGCGUAGAUAUUGGGAAGAACACCGGUGGCGAAAGCGCUCUGCUGGACCUGCACUGACACUGAGGGACGAAAGCUAGGGGAGCGAAAGGG